GGUCUCUGGUAACCCGAUGCGUGGCCUUUUUGCUCUCCCUUCCCUCACAGGUCGAUGGACGCUGAUGUCCCGACCCAUCAU
rnacentral:rRNA from 1 species